UACGUAGGGUGCAAGCGUUGUCCGGAAUUAUUGGGCGUAAAGAGCUCGUAGGCGGUUUGUCGCGUUUGCUGUGAAAAUCCAGGGCUUAACCCUGGACCUGCAGUGGGUACGGGCAGACUAGAGUGCGGUAGGGGAGAUCGGAAUUCCUGGUGUAGCGGUGAAAUGCGCAGAUAUCAGGAGGAACACCGGUGGCGAAGGCGGAUCUCUGGGCCGUAACUGACGCUGAGGAGCGAAAGCAUGGGGAGCGAACAGG
rnacentral:rRNA from 1 species